UACGUAGGGACCAAGCGUUGUUCGGAUUUACUGGGCGUAAAGGGCGCGUAGGCGGCAUGACAAGUCACUUGUGAAAUCUCCGGGCUUAACUCGGAACGGCCAAGUGAUACUGUUGAGCUAGAGUGCGGAAGGGGCAAUCGGAAUUCUUGGUGUAGCGGUGAAAUGCGUAGAUAUCAAGAGGAACACCUGAGGUGAAGACGGGUUGCUGGGCUGACACUGACGCUGAUGCGCGAAAGCCAGGGGAGCGAACGGG
rnacentral:rRNA from 1 species